rnacentral:rRNA from 1 species
AUUGAACGCUAGCGGGAUGCUUUACACAUGCAAGUCGAACGCGUGGCGGACGGGUGAGUAAUAUAUCGGAACGUGCCCAGUAGCGGGGGCUAACUACUCGAAAGAGUGGCUAAUACCGCAUACAAUUUGAGCGGCCGAUAUCGGAUUAGCUAGUGGGGGGGGUAAAGGUUCACCAAGGCAACGAUCCGUAGCUAGUUUGCGAGGACGACCAGCCACACUGGGACUGAUACACGGUCCAGACUCCUACGGGAGGCAGCAGUGGGGAAGUUUGGACAAUGGGGGAAACCCUGUUCCAGCCAUCCCGCGUGUAUGAGAAGGCCUUCGGGUUGUAAAGUACUUUUGGCAGAGAAGCGGUAUCUGCAGAAUAAGCACCGGCUAACUACGUGCCAGCAGCCGCGGUAAUUC